rnacentral:rRNA from 1 species
GAUGAACGCUGGCGGCGUGCCUAAUACAUGCAAGUCGAGCGAACAGACGAGGAGCUUGCUCCUCUGACGUUAGCGGCGGACGGGUGAGUAACACGUGGAUAACCUACCUAUAAGACUGGGAUAACUUCGGGAAACCGGAGCUAAUACCGGAUAAUAUAUUGAACCGCAUGGUUCAAUAGUGAAAGACGGUUUUGCUGUCACUUAUAGAUGGAUCCGCGCCGCAUUAGCUAGUUGGUAAGGUAACGGCUUACCAAGGCAACGAUGCGUAGCCGACCUGAGAGGGUGAUCGGCCACACUGGAACUGAGACACGGUCCAGACUCCUACGGGAGUCAGCAGUAGGGAAUCUUCCGCAAUGGGCGAAAGCCUGACGGAGCAACGCCGCGUGAGUGAUGAAGGUCUUCGGAUCGUAAAACCCUGUUAUUAGGGAAGAACAAAUGUGUAAGUAACUAUGCACGUCUUGACGGUACCUAAUCAGAAAGCCACGGCUAACUACGUGCCAGCAGCCGCCGUAA